rnacentral:rRNA from 1 species
CCUACGGGUGGCUGCAGUGGGGAAUAUUGGACAAUGGGCGAAAGCCUGAUCCAGCCAUGCCGCGUGUGUGAAGAAGGCCUUCGGGUUGUAAAGCACUUUCAGUGGGGAAGAAAGCCUUGGGGCUAAUACCCUCGAGGAAGGACAUCACCCACAGAAGAAGCACCGGCUAACUCCGGGCCAGCAGCCGCGGUAAUACGGAGGGUGCGAGCGUUAAUCGGAAUUACUGGGCGUAAAGCGCGCGUAGGCGGUCUGAUAAGCCGGUUGUGAAAGCCCCGGGCUCAACCUGGGAACGGCAUCCGGAACUGUCAGGCUAGAGUGCAGGAGAGGAAGGUAGAAUUCCCGGUGUAGCGGUGAAAUGCGUAGAGAUCGGGAGGAAUACCAGUGGCGAAGGCGGCCUUCUGGACUGACACUGACGCUGAGGUGCGAAAGCGUGGGUAGCAAACAGGAUUAGAUACCCUUGUAGUC